GGUCCUUUACUUGUAAUGCAAGCUUCUUGAAAUGAGAACUGAUAUAAAAAUAAAUACACUUCCCUCGUGUACUAUAUUUUUUUCGAGAAGAUUGCCUCGUUUAUUUAUGUCCUGUAUUUAGUAUCAUUUGUUGAGUGUGUGUGUUAUUUACAAUGACAUAAAUGAAGAGGUUUAAUUUCUUGUCUGUUCAGGAAACUGUAAGUUAGAGAAUCAGUUUUCUAUUUUACUAAGUCUUUGUUUCUGUUUAAUAAUACCUAGUCCUAAGGAGCUGUUAGAGUUAGAAUAGGACUUAUUUUGUAUUUCAAACGUGAUAGCAGCAGUAGCUAAUCACGACCUGCUUUGUAGGAGUUCUGUUAAGAUGUAAGGCUAUUUAAAGCCAAAGUUGUUCAAUAAGAAUGUAGAUCAUUCAUCCAUAUUGUUCUUGAGCUGUGAUUGUUGAGUUUUCAUUCAGGGCUUUCUAACAAUCUGGUAUCAGAGCCCUUAACGGGGCCUGAUUGUGCAUCUCGGGUUAGAGUGAAACAGUGUGUGUGUGAGUAAACAGUGUGUGUAAGAGAAGUGAUGGCAGAAGCAAGCUCAACGCAGCUGAAGCUUUUGGCUGAGAGCAACUCAGCUCCAGUAUCCAUCCCUCUAUUUGAUGGAUACUACGAUCACUGGUCAGAGCUCAUGGAGAAUUUCAUUCGCUCCAGAAAGUUGUGGCACCUCAUUGAAACUGGUGUUCCAACUCCUGUGCAAGUGCGUGAACAGGUCGCUACUUUCUCAACUGUUGUGGCAGAAGGAAGACAACAGACUGAAGCGCAAAGGAAGAGAGAAGAAGACUUGCGCCAAAGAGUUGAGCAAAUGAAGGAGGAUGAUCUGAAGGUUAAGAAUUUCCUUUUUCAAGCUAUUCAUAGGACUAUCAUGGACACAAUUCUUGAUAGGUCCUCUUCGAAGAGCAUAUGGGAUUCCAUGAAACAAAAAUAUCAUGGUUCAUCCAAGGUGAAGAGAGCUAGCAGGCAGGCACUGAAGAAAGACUUCGAGAUCUUGCAGAUGAAGGAGGAUGAGAGGAUUGAUGAGUUCUUUGCUCGGACUCUCACCAUUGUGAACAAGCUGAAAGUUCAUGGUGGUCAGAAUAUGUCACAGGUUGACAUAGUAGAGAAAAUUUUGAGGUCAUUGACUCCGAGAUUUGACUAUGUAGCAUGUUCAAUCGAGGAAUCCAAUGAUCUUGAUACAAUGACGGUUGACGAGUUGCACAGCAGUUUGCUUGUCCAUGAGCAGAGAUUGUGUAGAAUCAAUGGAGGAAUGAGAGAUGAUCAAGCUCUCAAAGUAACAUCAAGUGAAGGAGGUAAUCGAGGUAGAGGCAAUAGGGGUCGAGGACGAGGAGGCAACAUGGGAAGAGGUCGAGGAAGAGGCAUUUUUAACAAGGCCAUGGUAGAAUGUUACAAAUGUCACAAGCUUGGACAUUUUCAGUAUGAAUGUCCAACUUGGAACAAGGAGAUAAAUUAUGCAGAGGCAGAGUUCAAUGAGCAUGAAGAAAUACUACUAAUGGCUUAUGUCGAUUUGAAUGAAGGAAAAAGGGAAGAUGUGUGGUUCCUAGACUCAGGGUGCUCAAAUCAUAUGAGCGGUGAUUUGUCAAAGUUCUGUGAUUUGGAUGAACGAGUUCGGCAUCAUGUCAAACUUGGCAACAACUACAAGAUGAUGGUGCAAGGAAGAGGUAGAGUCAAGAUUGCCAUUCAUGGUGUCACCUACAGCUUUUCAGAUGUGUUUAUGUGCCAGGGUUGACUAACAAUCUCCUUAGUAUUGGUCAACUACAAGAAAGAGGGCUUGCUGUUUUGAUGCAUGAAGGGAAGUGCAGAGUAUACCAUCCUGAGAGAGGUCUCAUCAUUCAGACAACUAUGACAACCAACCGAAUGUUUGUGAUUGUUAGCCAAUACACAAGAAGAGAAGUGCUUUCACUCCAGUGUGCAAAAGCAAGAUCUAGCCAAUCUGUGGCACUGCCGGUUUGCACAUCUAAGUCACAAAGGAUUGAAGCUGCUACAGGAGAAAGAGAUGGUUAGUGGAUUGCCGAAACUUACUUCUUCAUCAUCAGUAUGUGUGAGCUGCCUUGUCGGGAAGCAGCACAGAGAUCCCAUACCAAAGAAAAGCACGUGGAGGGCUACACACAAGCUUCAACUUGUUCAUGCUGAUCUGUGUGGACCGAUAACUCCAGAAUCAAACAGCAAGAAGAGGUAUGUCCUAUGCUUUAUUGAUGACUUUAGUAGAAAAGCAUGGACAGUUUUUCUUGUUGAGAAAUCAGAAACUUUUAGCUACUUUAAAAGUUUUAAGAGCAUGGUAGAGAAGGAAUCUGGUAUGAGUAUUAAGUGCUUACGUACUGAUAGAGGAGGAGAGUUCAAUUCAAAUGAGUUUAAUCAGUUCUGUAAGGAGCAUGGUAUUAAGAGGCAGCUCACAACCGCCUACACCCCGCAACAGAAUGGGGUUGCCGAACGGAAGAAUCGCACCUUGAUGAAUCUCGUGCGCUCCAUAUUGUCAGAGAAAGAGGUACCGGAAUCUUUCUGGCCUGAGGCGGUCAAGUGGACCACUUAUGUAUUAAAUAGAAGCCCAACCUUGGCAGUGAAGAAUGCUACACCGGAGGAGAUGUGGUGUGGUGUCAAACCAACAGUAAGUCAUUUUCGGGUGUUUGGGUGUUUGGGGCAUGUUCACAUUCCAGAUGCUAAAAGAACCAAGUUAGAGGACAAGAGUCAUGCUUGUGUAUUGAUGGGGGUCAGUGAUGAGUCCAAAGCAUACCGUUUGUAUGAUCCUGUAAAGAGGAAAAUUGUAGUCAGCCGUGAUGUUGUAUUUGAGGAAGACAAAAAGUGGAGAUGGGAUGNNNNNNNNNNNNNNNNNNNNGGUGAGAUUAAGUUGAUUCAUUGCGGAACUCAUGAUCAGAUUGCUGAUGUGAUGACAAGCCACUGAAGUUGGAUGAUUUUCGGAAGUUCAGAGAGAAGCUGGGCGUGUGUGCUGUUAAAGAAUUAAACUAGCUGCUAUACUGCAGUCAGUUUAGGGGAGGGAUUGAAGAGGUUUAAUUUCUUGUCUGUUCAGGAAACUGUAAGUUAGAGAAUCAGUUUUCUAUUUUACUAAGUCUUUGUUUCUGUUUAAUAAUACCUAGUCCUAAGGAGCUGUUAGAGUUAGAAUAGGACUUAUUUUGUAUUUCAAACGUGAUAGCAGCAGUAGCUAAUCACGACCUGCUUUGUAGGAGUUCUGUUAAGAUGUAAGGCUAUUUAAAGCCAAAGUUGUUCAAUAAGAAUGUAGAUCAUUCAUCCAUAUUGUUCUUGAGCUGUGAUUGUUGAGUUUUCAUUCAGGGCUUUCUAACAAUAAAGACCAUGUGGAGGUGGAGGUGGAGGAGGCGGAGGAGGUGGAGGAGUUGGAGAUGUGAAUUCGGUGGAGGUCUAUUCUGAGUUUGAUUGAGAGAGUGCGGGUCGGUGGAUCUGGGAGGGAGGAGAUUGUGGGUUUUGGGUAAAGGAGUCUUCUUUCUUUUUUUCGAUGAAGAAGUCUUUUUUCUUGGGUGGGUCUGAGGAAAAUACAAGAAAUCUACGAUACAAUAUGUGUAUGAAAAUACGAUACAAAAGCAUAUUUAAAUUCUUUAGUCCUUUCUAAAAAUUUCAAUAAGUAUGUUAAACGAUGUAAAAUACAAUAAGAAGUGUGUUCCAAAUCUAUCAAACAUAGUCCGCCUAUUAUGUCUCCUUCAAAAUAUCAGUGUAAAUAUUACAGAGAAAAUAUGACAGUUAGCUCCUCAACAUUAUAUCAAUGGAAAAAUAGUUCAAACAAUGUCUCACAUUUUAAAGAAGCAAAGCUUUGGUAUCUCACAUUCAGAAAACUUCAAAACAAUAUCUCAUGUUCUUAUCUCGACCAAAGUUUGGUAUCUAGAACUGUUAACUUCGUUAAAAAACUGACGGCAACCAUUUUUAUUCAUGAAAUGACCGAUAUACCCUUGAGUUUGUGUUUUUAUUAUUCUUUUUAUAUAAUAAAAAAAUAAAUUCGUCAUACGGUACCUCAUCUUUUAUUAUCACAAAAAUAAAAUAUAUAUUUAGAGAAAAAAUAAUGAAUUGAAAUAUGAAGAGACAAAAAAUACCCAUAAAAAAUGGCCAGCUGACAGUUACUCUAUCAGAGGUUACGACUAAAAGUACUAAAAUUAGGUCUUCCGUUAUGUUGUUUUCAAAAUUUGAAGUACCAAAGUUUAUGAGCGAGAAAAUAUGAGGUACCGUUAUGACAAAAAAAAAAUUAUAUAAAAUGAAAAACAAAAAUAACAACUGAAGGGUAAAUUGGUCAUUUAUGAAUAAAAAUGGCUACCGUCAAUCUUUUUAACAAAGCUAACGGUUCUAGAUACCAAACUUCAGUCGAAAUAAAAACGUGGGAUACUGUUUUAAAGUUUUCUAAAUGUUAGAUACCAAAACUUUGUUUCUUUAAAAGGUGUGACACUGUUUAGACAAUUUUCCUAAUAUCAUAUUGGUACCUUAACUUAUUCAUGGGAAAAUCGUCCCAACCAUACCUGACUUUUCUCGCCUUAUAAAUUUUGGUACCUCAUGUUUCUAAAGUAUCAUAAAUUCAUAAUGGUAUCUGACAUUCUAACCCCAACCAAAAAUAAGUACCAGCUAGUCGUUAGUGUUGUCACAGAGGGUGAGAUGUGGCAUAUAUUUAAGGGAAUUUUCGUUCAUUGUACACCUAAUCUCCAUUCAAAAGAUGAAGCGGAUAAAAUGUUGGAUUAAAUUCAUUGUACACCUAUGAGGGUUGAGUUUAACUUCAUUUCACUCUAUGUUUCCUCAAUUUAAACAAGGAAAAAUUGUCCAAACAGUGUCCGACCUUUUAGAGAAACAAACCUUUGGUAUCUCAACUUUGAAAAACUUCAAAAUGGUAUCUCACGUUC
rnacentral:lncRNA from 1 species